rnacentral:rRNA from 2 species
AGAUAGCUGGAGCUUGUGGUUCCUUCAUUACACGCGUUGCACCUUACCAGGUCUUGACAUCCUCUGACAAUCCUAGAGAUAGGACGUCCCCUUCGGGGGCAGAGUGACAGGUGGUGCAUGGUUGUCGUCAGCUCGUGUCGUGAGAUGUUGGGUUAAGUCCCGCAACGAGCGCAACCCUUGAUCUUAGUUGCCAGCAUUCAGUUGGGCACUCUAAGGUGACUGCCGGUGACAAACCGGAGGAAGGUGGGGAUGACGUCAAAUCAUCAUGCCCCUUAUGACCUGGGCUACACACGUGCUACAAUGGACAGAACAAAGGGCAGCGAAACCGCGAGGUUAAGCCAAUCCCACAAAUCUGUUCUCAGUUCGGAUCGCAGUCUGCAACUCGACUGCGUGAAGCUGGAAUCGCUAGUAAUCGCGGAUCAGCAUGCCGCGGUGAAUACGUUCCCGGGCCUUGUACCA